CUUUGGAAAGGUGUGUGUGGUGAUGUGUUGAGUCUGUGGGGUUACAAAGAAACAAGAGUCUACAGAUACAAAGAUAUUCCGUAUCAGGAGUCUAUAUUAUGAACAUUAUGUACGGAUGCAUGGCCCAGGGACACAGCACUUCUGCCUUGCCACCCCUCCCAGCCUCACCUUCUGUGAGUGCCUCUGUCAGCACCAAAGUGGUGCUUGCUCCACGCCUGCCCGUCUUGCCCAGAGCCCAGUGCUGGACAUGGACACGGGCAGACAGAAUUCACCAGGGAAUGAAUGGCAUGUCUGCAGGUGCACUCAGGUACAGCGCAUAAAUUCAGAUUUGGAGAGCUUAUGUUCCAUCAUAAAUUGGGCUGGCAGACUUCCGAUGAACAAGAUAAAGCUGUCUCCUGUGAGGCAUGGGAGCAAGGGGGAGCCAUCCUGGGGCCUCUGAGACACCCCAGCACUGCCAGCAUGGACCUCAGAACAGAGCACCAUGCUUGUCCUUGUGCUCCAACCUCUGACAGCCUGGGCAGCGCCAGUCUGGGCCCGAGGAGAGUCUCCUGGGCUUAUGAGCUUGCUCUCCCUGCUCAAGAAGCCUGUGGCCAUGGGUGCCGGUAGGCCACGGCGAGGGGCCUCACUGGGACGGCCCUGUGUGCAGCCUCAAAUGCUGACACUUGGGUUUGUCAGUGACCCAACUGCUGGCAGGGAGCUCCCUGUGCAGCCUGUGCCUGGGGGCAGCCACUUCUGGCCACCCUCUUCCCCCCAGCCCCUCGACUCCUGCCAGCUUCCCUCAAGGCUUUCUGCAUCCAGGGUCUCCACCCAGAUGUCCCCUCUUCUUCAACUUCCACCUGAGAGCCCACCUGAGCCCCAGGGGUCUUGAAUGAUGCCCUGUGGCUCAGAGGACGGCACAGCCUUGUGUUGCUGUUGUGACUGUGGUGGGUUCUGAGUGCUCGCAGGUCUGCCCAGGCCAAGACCAGUAAACAUGCAAAGUCAAUGUGUGGCCAGCACGGUUGGGAUGGACUCUCCAGGGCCUAGACCCCACAAUGAGAAACAUGGGUCACCAGUGCUUUCGUGCAGGAUCUGUGUUGAGCAUAAGGUGACGUGGACAGCAGGCCUGGUCACAGGACAAGGACAGCAUAGGCACACACGAGCAGGGCCAUCUGCUGAACAUGGGAUGGACACACCUGAGCACGUGGGUGUUCCUCCAUCUCAGGUCUGGACCUGCUCUUCCCUCACACUUGGCCCCAGAUGGCACAUCCCAGGGACAUGGGGUGGAAUAGGACUGGUGCCCAAGGCUGUGUGCUGGGCACCAGCUCUGCUCCUCAGCUCUGGUUGUCACCCUGACCUGGCAUCUGAAACAGGGACAAUCGUGGUGCUGCAGGGGCUUGUGCCACAGGGAUGAGGACCGCACAGGCCUCUAUGCCCAUGUCCACCCAGCAGGGCAGCAGCCACCUCCAGGGCUCCUCCCGUGCCCCACUCACAGCUGAGGCCAGGUCCAGGCUGCAGGCUGGCAGUGUCUGCAGGGAGGAGGGGUGGAGCCUCGUGCCCAUAGACUGUCUUGCUCCCUGGGCCCGUGGAGGGCACAUGCCCCCUUUCGCUUGUUCCUAUCCUGUGGUUCCCAUCCCCCAGCUCCUGCACGCUGAGCCCACGUGUGGGGGAAGCAUGUAAGGUGUUGUGUAAGUUAGCACACACACUGCGUGUUUCUGGUGAUGUCAGCAUCUGUGCACGCCUGUCCUGUGCAUCCAGCUCUUGGAGCUGCUGUCAUGCACACGGGGGUGUCUAGGUGUGAGUACACAGGUGGGUUGCUGUGUCCUCUGAGAAUGCAUGUGUCUGUUGGUGGCUGUGGGUGCUGUGUGGGCGCGUGUGUGUGCUUCCUCACAGCUCAGUGUCAGCUACGGCACACCUGUGGGGCCAGUGUGACCCCUGCAUGUCAUCAUGUGUCUGGGCGCAUCUAGGCCUGUCUCCAGCCCCUUGGGUCACCCUGGAUGAGCACAGGUGAGGGCCAGCCAGGUCCACCUCAGCACCUGUGGUCCUAGGGACUCUCGUCCUCCACCCUCCCCUCUGGAUCUCUCUUCCCCGGUUUGUACCACAUCUGGUGCUCAAUAAAUGAUUGACUGGUGAAGGAAUGGAUGAAAAUGGGGCUCUAGGGGUGCAGUCUGGAUAGAGGCAUGGGCAGGCACUGCAGAGUGGAAAGGAGGGCUCUGGCAGGCGCACCAGUUGUGGAUGGGGUCAGCAGCGCCAGAGGGGUCGGUCAAGCCCGGCUGAGCCUGGGUUGGGGGCAGCAGGGUCUGCAGGCCGCCCCCGCGCUCCCUGGGGACGUCUCGGGUCACCGUCUGCACCUCCGGCCCGAGCAGCCCCGCGGGUUAUUUAUGACCCCCCUCCCCCUCCCUGGCGGCAGCAGCGGCUCCGGCCUCGGCCCAGCGGCGGAGGGCCCUGAGCAGGGGGACCUCGAGCAGCGACAGCACCGCCCAGGCCCGUUGAGCGGGGGCGGGGCUUCCGCAGGCUGGAGGAAGGGCUGUGGCCGCAGACCCCACCUGCUCUCCCUGCGGUGCGCCAGGCAGGAGGUGGGGGGGGGGGAAUUCCAGCGCCACAAUUCUGUCACUCUAGCCUCUGGCUGCAGACUGAGAAGUGCAGAGGAACCUGUGGGCCCAGGUACCAGAACAGGACACAGGUGGACAGGUGGGAAGAAGUGAGCAGAUCCUCCUGGGUAUGAUGUCCGGGAGUGCGAGUGCCUCGUCCCAGUGGGAAAGUGGCUCUGACCACAAAGAGCAGAGGGGGACACAGGUGGGGUGAAUUGCCCUGAUCAGCCAAGGCCCUGGACAGCCCCUAGAGGGGGUCGGUCUCUGAGCAGUCAGGGAGUGGCCUUUUGGGAGGGGCUCCGGCUGGGAGCUUUGGACUCAGUCCCUUCUUUUCUUGAAGGGACCCUGGCUCUCUAGAGAGGGGUGGAGCCAGAUGGUGUCCUGAGUGAGCUAGGUUAGCCCCACACCUUGCCAGCUGAACUCCUCCUCUGAAAGCCACAGUUGGGCCCCCCAUGGUCCUCCCUAACCACAGUGAUGAGUGAGAGGUCCUGCAGAAGGUGAGGUAGGCUCCCCUCUACAGGCUCAGGUUGGAGGACACCUGGCCUGGCAGCCGAGUGGUACCGGCUCAGAUCUCCGUGUGCUUCACCAGCCUUCUGUCCCCAAACCAGUGUGAAGCUCGGGUGAGGAGGCCCGAGGCUCAGAAGGGAAGGUGCAGCAAGCAUGAGAAAAGCUGGGUGCGGCCGACGGUCUUUUGGCAGCAGUGUCGGGGCUGUGGCCAGACAGUGGGUGCAUGGGCCUCCUACUUGGCCCCCAGCAGAACCCCGAGUGCCUCUGCAUGGACACGACGGCUUCUCUGUGUGCCUUGGCUCUAGGACAGGGACAGCCUCCUGCAGCCAUUCGACACGCAGGCAGCACAGCAAGACACAGGCCACAGGGGUGGCCGUGGGGGGAGCUCCCAAACUGUUACACCUGGGGUCAGGCACAUGCAGGGGUUCAGGCUUCAUGUGGGGAAAUGGGCCGUGGCUGACGAAGCAAGGAGGGGGCGCUCACAUUUAUACCCACACUCCCAUCUGGCCCUUAAGCCCAGGCAGACAAUGUACAAGGAAUGCAGGAAGCAGAAGGGGGGUGCAGAGGUUGGGGUGCACUGGUUCCCACACACAUUCCUGCUCUGAGCCCAGAGCUCACUCCCCAGGCUGGUCUUGGGGUCAGCUGGUGUCUCAGUUGAGGAUGAUGUGAGAAGCGUGUGUCAGUGAGGGGAAGCAGAAUGGUCGCCCAGCUGGUGGCAGGCGUCUGGCAGGAGGUGGGUGCUAGUGGUGUGUCCCCACUCCCAGCCCCUCCCUUGCACAAGGUGCUUGUGCCAGCACUCCUGUGAUGCAGCCUCAGAACCUGGUCAGGAGAUGCCCACACAGGAGCCCUGCCAAGGUACAGCUCAGAGGGGCAGGGGUUAG